CUUAACACAUGCCAAGUCGAACGAAUGAAAGCCCUUCGGGGUUGGAUUAGUGGCGAACGGGUGAGUAACACGUGGGCAAUCUGCCCUUCACUCUGGGACAAGCCCUGGAAACGGGGUCUAAUACCGGAUAACACUCCUGCCUGCAUGGGCGGGGGUUAAAAGCUCCGGCGGUGAAGGAUGAGCCCGCGGCCUAUCAGCUUGUUGGUGGGGUAAUGGCCCACCAAGGCGACGACGGGUAGCCGGCCUGAGAGGGCGACCGGCCACACUGGGACUGANACACGGCCCAGACUCCUACGGGAGGCAGCAGUGGGGAAUAUUGCACAAUGGGCGAAAGCCUGAUGCAGCGACGCCGCGUGAGGGAUGACGGCCUUCGGGUUGUAAACCUCUUUCAGCAGGGAAGAAGCGAAAGUGACGGUACCUGCAGAAGAAGCGCCGGCUAACUACGUGCCAGCAGCCGCGGUAAUACGUAGGGCGCAAGCGUUGUCCGGAAUUAUUGGGCGUAAAGAGCUCGUAGGCGGCUUGUCACGUCGGAUGUGAAAGCCCGAGGCUUAACCUCGGGUCUGCAUUCGAUACGGGCUANCUANAGUGUGGUAGGGGA
rnacentral:rRNA from 1 species